rnacentral:rRNA from 1 species
AUGCCGCAAGAACAGGAUGUCUCGUCCUCCUUCAAGGACCUGCCCAACACCCGGACACUGGACGGACCGUCCCCUCGGCGCUACCCUGUGUUGCGCUUUGACGUGCCCACCAUCGACGGGCGAGAGAUUGUCUCCGUCGAUUCGAGCGGGAUUGCCCGUUUCUGUGUGGAGGAAGGCCCGCUGAUCUUUGUGGACCAAGUGGAUGGCAAGUACUACAUCGCGAGGGACCGUCGUCUUCCUGGCGAACCGUUUGAAAGCGUCUUUCAACUCAUCCAGUCAGCCGGUCUCCAGUUGCUCGCAGCUUUCUCCCAUCUCCCUCCGUAUGAGGAGCAGCAGCACGUGAGGGGCAAUGCAUCUUCCCAAAUGCCUGCUCUGGAACUCGAAGCCUCCUGUGAUCUGCCGUGUGAGGAGUCGUCUGUGGCUGAGACUGGAUCAGCACAUUCAGCACAGAUGCUGCAACCCAUCACAGCGACUUCUUCAGCCUCUGUUCAGGCCGACGCAGCAGUAACUCAGGAGGACACCGUUCAUGUCUCGCCACCACUUCUGCGUUUUCUUUCAUCGUCACCCAUUUGGGGCUUGCGCCGGGGGGAUUGGGGAUACGCAUUCUUCUACAUCAGGAUUGAUCUGAAGGGAUCUUUCCACACGUAUCCUCCAGUGGGUGGGCCAUUUCAGAGCUUAGAGCAGGCUUGCAGCGCUAUCGACCGCCAUCUUGAAGAACAACGACAUCCAACAAUGUUCAUGGAUCAACCUGGGAUGUCUCAAGUGGAUAAAGUCAUACGCCAAUGUCUCUACUGGCCUGAUGGCACAAGGAAGAAGUUGAUUGACGAAAGGCGUGACUGGAUGCGCCAGUUAGUUCAAGCUUUGCUGGACAAGCAUAACGAUUAUAACCAUCUUCUUGGGGAUCCCACAUACAAACUCAAAGAUGUAGUGUGUUUCGAGUCUGUUCAUGCGCCCAAUGACCAUACUAGGCUGUACCAUCAUAUUAAUUUCACUGCAAAGACUAAAGGAGCCGAUGAUGAUUCUAAUUGUGGCAUCGAGGAUUUAUUCUUCGCUGAACUCAUGUGGGAGCGAGGUGAACGUAUAGAAUUGGUGGUCAGCUGUUUCUGCGUGCUUAAACCAACAGACAACGGUCGCUGCGAUGCUUGUGAUGCGAAGCACCCCAAUGAUGCUGCAUACACUCAUCAAAUAAGCCCAUUGGGUGAAUAUGCUAAGCUUGGUAACAUUGUGUAUGUGGGCUAUGACGAAGACUUGAAGGAGGAGGAAGAAAGGGUAAGACGUCACUACGAGGGCCGUGAUGAUCCAGAGGGAAUGAAUCGAAAAUUGACAACCAUUCAGACCUAA